CUACCAUUGGUACAUGUGAGAUGCAGGAAGUGAUGUAAAGAACUACCUAUAUAUUUCACAUCACUUCCUGUGAUCGCUCUCUCGGUGGUGUUGGGAGCUCUGGGCUGCAUUUGACAUACUUGCGGGUUUUGGCUCUGUAGCGUGAUUUAGGUGAGGUGUCUUCCCUGAGCAACCUUGGGCAAAUUUUCCUGCCAACUGGAGGUCAAGUGGAAUCUCAAUUACCCAAGAUAAUGAAUAUUUAAUUCGCAUAAAUAAAUGAGUAUUAGUUCAUUUUUUCUACUUCAUUGGUAACUUGAAUGGAGGACAUUAACAGCUGGGAAUGAACAACUGUCAGUUUCCUCAGUACAAUGAACUGGAAAAGGAACCCCAAAUUGGCAUCCUGAAGAGUCAGAGAUGACUGAACAACAACAACCAAUAUAUAAAGUACCUCCAGGCCCUUCCCCUCUCCCUAGUCCCAGCCUGACUGGAGUCCCUGCCAGAGACCACAGGAGCCAACACUAAGCGGCUUGGAGCUGGGGGAGCGUCUUCCAUCCCUGCCAGCAAUGAGGAAUAACAGCAGCUUUGACCCCACUGCUAUGGGGGAAGGGGAGGAGGGGGAUAACUAUGUUCCUACCAUCCCAAGUUGGAAUUCUGAAGGAGCUUAGAAACACUGUGCCAUGUGGUGGUCAGCCUCUGAAAUAUUGCAAAUAUGGUAUUAAACUUGCGGCGUGACAUGGAUUAAAUAGGUUUUGAUAGGCUAUCCUAAGACUCUAACCACCAUAUGUAAUUUUACUUUUUAUGGGAAAAUGCUUUUCAGAGUUUCAUACUAUUUGCUCAUAAAUUGGGAAUGCCUGUAAAUAUUUUAUAAAAAGAGGUUGUAUUUCAUCUAUCUUAAUUAUAUUGUCCAAGACAUAUUUCUUUUGACUAGCA
rnacentral:lncRNA from 1 species